CUCUUCGGGGAUGAUUAAACCGGCGCACGGGUGAGUAACACGUGAGUGACCUGCCUUUUAGACUGGAACAACUUACCGAAAGGUGAGCUAAUGCCGGAUGAGUUAUAUAAGUGCAUGUUUAUAUAGGAAAAGUUGGGGAGACCUGACGCUGAAAGAUGGACUCGCGUCCCAUUAGCUAGUUGGUAGGGUAAUGGCCUACCAAGGCGACGAUGGGUAGCCGGCCUGAGAGGGUGGCCGGCCACACUGGGACUGAGACACGGCCCAGACUCCUACGGGAGGCAGCAGUGGGGAAUUUUGCGCAAUGCUCGUAAGAGUGACGCAGCGACGCCGCGUGAAUGACGAAGGCCUUCGGGUCGUAAAGUUCUUUCGACAGGGAAGAAAAUGCCUAUAAGUAACUGUGUAUGUAUUGACGGUACCUGUAUAAGCAGCCCCGUCUAACUCCGUGCCAGCAGCCGCGGUAAUACGGAGGGGGCGAGCGUUGUUCGGAGUGACUGGGCGUAAAGAGCACGUAGGCGGUGUUGUAAGUCAUUAGUCAAAGACUAGAGCUCAACUUUAGUAAGGCUAGUGAUACUAUAAUACUAGAGUAUCAGAGAGGAUUGCAGAAUUCCUGGUGUAGCGGUGAAAUGCGUAGAUAUCAGGAGGAAUACCGUUAGCGAAGGCGGCAAUCUGGCUGGAAACUGACGCUGAGGUGCGAAAGCGUGGGUAGCAAACAGGAUUAGAUACCCUGGUAGUCCACGCUGUAAACGAUGGAUGCUAGGUGUUGGGCUUUUAAGUUCAGUGCCGCAGCAAACGCGAUAAGCAUCCCGCCUGGGGAG
rnacentral:rRNA from 1 species